rnacentral:rRNA from 1 species
AACGAACGCUGGCGGCAUGCCUAAUACAUGCAAGUCGAGCGAACAGAUGAAGUGCUUGCACUUCUGACGUUAGCGGCGAACGGGUGAGCAACACGUAAGGAAUCUACCUAUAAGCGGGGGAUAACAUUCGGAAACGGGUGCUAAUACCGCAUAAUAUCUUCUUCCGCAUGGAAGAAGAUUGAAAGACGGCUCUGCUGUCACUUAUAGAUGACCUUGCGGUGCAUUAGUUAGUUGGUGGGGUAACGGCCUACCAAGACGAUGAAGCAUAGCCGACCUGAGAGGGUGAUCGGCCACAUUGGGACUGAGACACGGCCCAAACUCCUACGGGAGGCAGCAGUAGGGAAUCUUCCGCAAUGGGCGAAAGCCUGACGGAGCAAUGCCGCGUGAGUGAAGAAGGCCUUCGGGUCGUAAAACUCUGUUAUAAGAGAAGAACAAAUUGUAGAGUAACUGCUACAGUCUUGACGGUAUCUUAUCAGAAAGCCACGGCUAACUACGUGCCAGCCGCCGCAGUAA